GACUGCCUGGAGGGCAGGCAGUGUUCCUUUAAAGUCUUCGGUUACGAUCGAGUGGAGACUUCCUCCUGCGACCCCGGCGACUUCCUGUUCGACGACUCUUGCUAUCAUUUUGAGUGGAAACGUAAGAAUUGGCAGGCCGCCGAGAAAUUCUGCAAGGGACGGGAUGGUUACUUGGCCAGCGUCCACUCAGAGGACGAAAACAAGUUCUUGGCUGCUCACGUACGAGAUGAUAAAGGAUAUUGGCCUUU